rnacentral:rRNA from 1 species
GACGAACGCUGGCGGCGUGCUUAACACAUGCAAGUCGAACGAUGAAGCCGCUUCGGUGGUGGAUUAGUGGCGAACGGGUGAGUAACACGUGGGCAACCUGCCCUCAGCUUUGGGAUAACUCCGGGAAACCGGGGCUAAUACCGGAUACGACCAUUCCCCGCAUGGGGUGGUGGUGGAAAGUUUUUCGGCUGGGGAUGGGCCCGCGGCCUAUCAGCUUGUUGGUGGGGUGAUGGCCUACCAAGGCGUCGACGGGUAGCCGGCCUGAGAGGGCGACCGGCCACACUGGGACUGAGACACGGCCCAGACUCCUACGGGAGGCAGCAGUGGGGAAUAUUGCGCAAUGGGCGAAAGCCUGACGCAGCGACGCCGCGUGAGGGAUGACGGCCUUCGGGUUGUAAAGCACUUUUGGCAGGGACGAUGAUGACGGUACCUGCAGAAUAAGCCCCGGCUAACUUCGUG